rnacentral:lncRNA from 1 species
CCCAAGCCAUCACCUUCCAAUUAAUGAUGAAUUGCCCUAAUAUUUGCCAGAAAAAGACCAGUUAGGAAGAUGGAUGUGAGUUUGAUGCUCUAACUUUCAGAAUCAGUUCUGCCACCGAUUUCUUGUGUGCCCUUGAGCAAGUUACCUGUGUUAGGUGUUUCAGAGGUGCUCUGCUUGCCUGUCCCUUGGGCAUUACAGCCCACUUAGAAAAGAUCUGCAAAGCUUCCUCCUACUGCAGAGGAGCAGUCUCAGCACUAGGACUGUGAGUUUGGUAUCAUCCCCAUGUAAAAUUGACCAGUGAGACCUACACAGGUCCACAGGGCAUUAUAACACACAGAUUAUUUUUUUUUUUUUUCCCUCCAGAUUAUAUUUUAACAACCAGAUGAAAAACCUCAAGUAUGUCUCAGAGCUGGGCUUUCUAAUGGAGUGGCUGAAAGGUACAGCAGCUUUUUUUGGUUGCUCCUUUCCUGUUUGUCCUCACAGCAACCACAGGCUCUGGUGUGGAGGACAAUGAGAGAAGGUGAACUACACUGGAAAUUGAGGUUGUUCCCUGCUACUGGAACUCGGAUCCAAACUCCUGGAGGAUUCAUGCCAGCAGUUUUAGGGAACAGGUGGGAGAAUGAUGCAGUAAUGGGGACAUCUAGGCUAUGCUUUCUUGCCCACUGUCAAAUUGAUUUUAUGUGCAGCAUCUGAACGUUAUUUUGUGGGAAAGAUUAGUAAAAAAGGUAGUUGCAAUUCUCUGCAUAUAUAUUGGGGGGUGGGGGGUGGAGGAGAGUCUCGAAAUCCCAGACACAACCCAGUCGUUUAUCAGUGCUGACCUUUUACCACUAAGCACUCUGAGUCUUACCUGCCAAUAUCCUUCAGAGAGAGAAAAUGGACAGGUCUCUGUAUUCUUCCUCAAGGUGUUGCACGAAUUCAAAGCACAUCUGAAGUCUGAUAGAGAAUCUGCAUGAGUAUCCUGACAGCCAUUCCAGCUUGACAUCUCUUUGAUGUGCAAGAGUACUCUGUCAGCAUACUCCCUCUCCUCGUGCCUCUGACUUCCAGACAUGCAAGUCUAUAGUCCUUUUAGGAGUAUCCCCCCAAGAGGGCAAUGUAUGUGUUACCUGUCUGCUGUUAGAAUUUUUCCCAAUCCUCCAAUUCUGCAUUGCUAUUGAUUGAUUGUGGGCUGGCUGGCUGACUCUAAUAUACAGCAUAUUCACCAUCUCUAAUUGACUGCAAGUGCAUCAUCCUUUGCCCAGUACCUGAGCAGAUUGCUAUUGAUAUUUACUUAUUUCAUAAUAUUAUUUAUUGCUAUUUGUCUUCUCAUCAGCUUUUCUCUUUCCCUCUUCUGUCCUUUUUGCUCCCCUUUUAUCCUUGCUUCCAAAUCUCUAUUUGCCCAUGUCUCUCCUUUUCCUCUUGUUACAUCCCUACUCUACUACAU